GACGAACGCUGGCGGCGUGCUUAACACAUGCAAGUCGAACGGAAAGUCCCUGCUUGCAGGGUACUCGAGUGGCGAACGGGUGAGUAACACGUGUGUGAUCUGCCCUGCACUUCGGGAUAAGCCUUGGUAACUGGUUCUCCUACCGGGUAGAAGCCAUUUUUCGUUUGAUGGUUGGAACGUUUUUUCGGUGUAGUAUGAGAUCGCGUCCUAUCAGCUUGUUGGUGGGGUAAUGGCAUCCGAAGGCGGCGACGGGGAGCUGGCGUGAGAGGGUGGACGGCCACAGUGGGACUGAGAUACGGCCAAGACUCCAACGGGAGGGAGAAGUGGGGAAGAGUGAACAAUGGGAGUAAGCCAGAGGCAGCGACGGCGCGGGGGGGAUGACGGUCAUGGGGUUGGAAACGCCAUUCGCUAGGGACGAAGAUGUUAGUGACGGUACCUGGAGAAGAAGCACCGGCUAACUACGUG
rnacentral:rRNA from 1 species